AUUGAACGCUGGCGGCGGGCCUAACACAUGCAAGUCGAGCGGAGCGACGGACGGGUGGGUAAUGCCUAGGAAUCUGACUGGUAGUGGGGGACAACGUCCGGAAACGGGAGUUAAUACUGCACACUAUCAGCUUAGCCUAGGUCGGAUGAGCUAGUUGGUGGGGUAAGGGCCUACCAAGGCGACGAUCCGUAACUGGUCUGAGAGGAUGAUCAGUCACACUGGAACUGAGACACGGUCCAGACUCCUACGGGAGGCAGCAGUGGGGAAUAUUUGACAAUGGGCGAAAGCCUGAGCAAGCAAUGCCGCGUGUAUGAAGAAGGCUUUCGGGUUGUAAAGUACUUUCAGCGGGGAGGCGUUACCCGCACAAGAAGUACCGGCUAACUCCGUGCCAGCAGCCGCGGUAAUAC
rnacentral:rRNA from 1 species